GGACUGGCUUAUGGAUAUAGAGAAAAUGUAGGGGAUAGAUGAGCACGGGAAAUGUCUCCGUGGGGCAAAAUUCACGAAAUUCAGAUUGUUGGACACUCUCCAGGACAAAAGGUCUAGAUUCUUCAAAAACAACAACAUCGAAAAAAAAAAACUGCCAGAAAGAAAAAAUACAGAGGGAGAAGGACACAGAACACAUUUAUGAGUCUUUUCACCCUCAUUUCGUUGAAGAUUUUAUUGGCCGAAGAACCCUCAGUAGGCACGAAAUUCAUUCUCACAAGCAGAGAGAUGCAUUAUGCUCCAUUUAUUGCUCAUCCUAAAUUAUAAACAUUUCCAGUGAAUGUAAAGGAAGAUAUGAUUGAAAAGGACUCUGUGAAGACAGGAUGUUUCUGUACAGUCCUUGUAUCUGCUCACCUAUUCCAAACUUUCCAGAGAUUUUACCAGAGGUUUAAGAUAUUCUCCUGAGGGUUUGCUGUAGAGAGAUUUUUCUUAACUAAGGAGUGCAAGUAGCAAGCAAUAGCCCACCCAGUUGGAGACAAAAAAGAAGGGUGUCAGUGUUCCCACUGUUAAAAAACAAAAAAAAAUCACCCUGGACACCUCUGAGAAUUAUACAAGGGGAUGUACACAGCCCUGCUUUAUUUGAGUUCAAAAGGAAGGUGGGUUUUGAAAGAAGAACAAGGAGAGUAGAUCUCUCUGGAUCUUCUGAUGCUCACAGCAAAGAGCUCAAGGUAUCUGAGUCAACUCUUGAGGCUUCUUCGAACAGAGGGAUGAAGAGAGAAUAUGGCAAGCUUGCCAACAGAUCCCAGAAGUUUUAAGAGAAAAGAACAGAUUGCUCUUUGCAAAACAAACCGAGCUGGGUGCAUGGAGCCCCAGUAGACAGAAAGUGAAGAAAACAUCAACGUUCUGAAGUUUUAGAUAGAGGAAGAAACAGGCCCAGAGAAGUUGGGUAACUCAUCAAAGGUCACAGAGCUAAGAGUGGCAGAGUCAGGCCUGGAGCCCAGGAAGUCUGGUUUCGAAUUUCAUGCUUCUAACCUGAGCACUGUACUGCUUGGUGGAGUUCUCUGCUAGUCCUACCUUUCAGGCAGAGGUGAUGCAGCAAGAAAGCUGCCACCAGAUGCAGCCCCUUGAUCUCGGACUGCCCAGCCUCUAGAACUGAGUUGAAGAGCAAUUCCCUCCAGUUUCCAUUAGAAAUGCUUCUUCUUCCAUAUCAAAUAUUGUGAGAUAGCCUGAAACACCUUUCAACACUUUACUACCCUUCUCCAAAAUUCAACAGAUAUGAUUUCCACGGACUUUACUCACAGGGGCUUCAGUAGAAGAGGAAGAGGCUUGGGUUUAAUUGAAGGUGGCCUGAGACAUCUGUGAGGAACAGCCCUUUUAGAGACAUAUCCCCUACAAAUAAAGCAUCAGAAUUAUUAUCCUAAU
rnacentral:lncRNA from 1 species